rnacentral:rRNA from 1 species
AUGAGCGGGGCGGCGCUGUGCGCGGCGCUGACGGAGCUGGGGUUCGACGGGGAGGACCCGCUGGACGCGGACGCGCUCGAGUGGCCCUUCCAGUACGAGGAGGCGCGCCCGCUGCUCGCCUGGAUCUGCUCCUGCCUCCGCCCCUCCAACGUCCUCUCCCCGUCCCACCUCUCGCAGUAUGAGCAACUCGUGGAAGAGGGAAGACUGCUAGAGGGUGAGGAUUUGGACUCUGCUUUUGAUAGUAUUUCAGCCUUUUCAAGCAAGAAAGACAAUCAAGAGGCUGUCUUUGAAGCAGAAGAAACUAUUCUUGACAUUCGAGAAGCAAAACUAGCAUAUAGAGCUGAAGUUUUUGAGUUGCAGAGGCAGCUUGCACGGCAGCAAGCACAAUUUGAUAUGCUUGCAGGGCAAGCAUCUUCGCUUAUUCAAGGCAGACGAGCACGUGUAUCAGCUAUGUCUGCAGUUAGCGUGCAACUUAUAUCACUAGAUGAGAUACUUUCAUCCAGAAACUUGGAGAUGAAUGCAGUUCUUGGAAGAAUUACUGCUACAACCCAAGAAUUGGCACAUUAUCAUUCGGGAGAUGAGGACAGUAUAUACUUGGCAUAUUCAGACUUCCAUCCGUAUGUUAUUGGGGAUUUGGCUUGUACAAAGGAGCUAAACCGGUGGUUCUCGAAGCAAUUUGAGAAGGGGCCAUUUCGACUUGUUGCGGAGGAGGGAAAAUCGAAAUGUUCCUGGGUGAGUCUUGAUGACAUCACAAAUGGCCUGACAAGAGGAGAUUCUGAAAAAUCUCGUCAUCACCAACGUGUGGCUGAGUUGCAACGACUCCGUUCGAUAUUUGCUACAAGUGAACGACAAUGGAUUGAAGCACAAGUUGAGAAUGCUAAACAACAGGCCAUACUCCAAAUUUUAAAAUCUCAAGUGUCCUCCGACGAGGCUCACAUACAUCAGGAUAUACAUUCUCUUAGGAGAAAAAGUUCUGAGCUUGCUGGAGAACUCUCAACACUUACUCAAAAGGUGCAGCCUUUCAUAUCUGAGACCAUACCAUGCCUUUGUUCGGAACUUGCUCAACUUCAAGGCACAUAUAUUUUGCAAGGUGAUUACGAUUUAAAGGUCAUGCGCCAGGAAUACUAUAUCAACAGGCAGAAAACUUUCAUCAAUCACUUGGUUAAUCAGCUUGCUAGACACCAAUUUCUGAAGAUUGCUUGCCAACUUGAAAGGAAGCACAUAGCCAGUGCCCAUGCAUUGCUUAGAGUCAUAGAAUCUGAGCUACAUAGCUACCUAUCGGCAGUCAACACCCGUCUGGGCCAUUGCAAUUCAUUAAUUCAAGCUGCGUCUGAGGUACGUGAACAAGGAGCAAUUGAUGAUCGUGACACUUUCCUCCAUGCAGUGCGAGAUCUACUAUGUAUUCACUCAAAUUCCCAAGCAGCAGUACCAACAUACAUGUCAGCACAUGCUUUAGUUCAGCAGAUAUCGGCACUUCAAUCUGACUUGCUUUCUCUUCAGUCUGAACUUGAAAAUACUCUUCCAGCUGACAGGAAAAGAUGUAUCAAUGAGCUAUGCACUCUGAUUCAAACAGUUGAACAGCUUCUAUUUGCAUCGUCAACAACUGCAGAACCAGUAUUGACGCCCUGGCCACUGAUGCGAGCACUUGAUGAUAUGGAAAAUGCAAAUGCUCAAGUUGAAGUUGCUGUUGAAGAAGUAACCAAGGCUCGCACUCAAAAGAUAAAGAUCUUUGAAAAUCGCGCACAUGAGGUGGGGAGGGAAAGGCAGGUGUUUGUUGAUUUUUUCAGCAACCACGAGCGUCUCAAGAAUCAAGUCAGAGAGCUGACCUCCCGCGUGAAAGCUCUCCAGGAAUGA